rnacentral:tRNA from 1 species
UUUAGUUUUUCAGACAGAGGUGAAAUUGUGGUUUUCAGGUUGGAUCUGAGG